rnacentral:lncRNA from 1 species
CCUUCCCUCACCCAGCCUCCCCUUUUCUCAGUCUCCUGCAGUCUAUUUUAUGGAGAAUUCCAGGACCAGGGGCUGUCUCCCCCAGGAGACCCUUUGAUACAUGACCAUGGUCCUUUAACCCAGCAGAUCCUGCUCCUCAUUGAUACAUUGUAAUCAGAUUUUAUCUGCAAGGAAGAGAGCCAUCUCACCGUUCUUCUCUCACCACCCAGAAUCUGCAGCCCCCCCAUCUAUCCUUUCUACCCCUGCCUGGCUACCGCACCGACAUCCCUCGGAGCUGCACCUUGCCUGGGUGGGUGGGGGCAAUCACUGGAUUACAAUCAGACCUCAGAGCAUGCUGCCCCCCAGGACAAGGGGGGUAAGUAUGGUCCUCCUGCACUAACCCCCCUUUCCCCGUGUGUAGGGGGGUGGGGUGGAAGGUGUCUAUUGAAAGAAUGGGAUGUGAUAGAUGCUGCUUGCUGAGAACAUGAUGGGGAUCCAGGUUUGAAAUCCCACCUUUGGUGCUAUAUCAGGACCCCCUCCACAAAGAAGGGCUGAUGAGGAUGGAAGGGGAGCCCCAGUUGACUGCAUGGGGGCUCAUGAGGGGCAGCUUGGAGGCUGAAGAGCUGGGGCUGCAGCAGGUGGGCCCAGCUGGAGAACUGAUCUCCCCCCAGCAGGUUAUGGGGGGCUAUUUUGUGAUGGGGCAGGAGGAAAAAGGACGUGCUGCAUCGCUGCCCAAGCUAGAAGAACCGGAUGGACUGGGUGAGCUCAUAGCUGGUCCCCACCCUCUACUCUCCCAGGCUGGGGACUCAUUGUUUGGGCCUAAAGGUUCACAGAAGGGGCAGCUUGGGGCUGGGCAGUGCCAGGCUAAGUGUGCCAGGGAGGGAGGGCUGGAGGAGGACAGGAGCAGGUUCACUCCUUUGGAUUUAACCCAUGAGUCCAGCCAGGUGUAUUCUCCCUAUUUGCUGGAACAGGUGUCUCUUUGCAAUAAUAAUAAUAAUUUGCUUUCAGAGUUUAGCCAGAAUCUCCAGCCUCAGAAAGGGUCCCCCCCCCAAAUCCACCUGACUCCAGAUUCUCCCCUAAUUAAUGAUACAUUAAUCCCCCCUGAUAGCAUUUUACCCCUGCUGAUACCCCAGCCAUCCAAUAAUAAUUUAUCAUGGGAUUCACACCAUAUGCUGCCACUUGCUUGGGACCUGCCCCAGGAACAUGAUUUGGACACUCAGUAUUCAGAGAGUGUAACCUGUCAGAGUGACCAGAACAUCUUAUUUAAAACCUGUGUGCUCCCUCACAAUGUCCUACAUUCUGUCUGUGAACCUUUCAUGUCCCCAGAUCCUGACCAGCUGCUUGUUUCUGAAUCCAGUCUGAACAUUGACCCAGCAAGAGAUCUACAUUCUAACCCAAAUCAAUCUCAGCCAUCUCAUCUACCCCCUGACCAUAUUCCCCAGUCUGAAUCGUGUUUGCCCCCAUCUGAGUGCUGCUUACCCACUGAUAAUGACCAGCUGUCCCUGGCUAAAUCCCGCCUGCCCCCUGACUCUGACCAGUGGCUCCUGUCUGGAGGCUGUCUGUCCCUUAGUCAGCUUCCUCAGUCUGAGUCUUAUUUCCCCCAUGCCCACCAGCCCCAGUCUCAAUUUGUUUUGCCUCCUGAUUCUAACCAGGCGCCCCUGGCACUGACCCUUCUGCCCACCAACUCAGACUUACUGCCCCUGUCUGAAUCCUAUUUGGCCCUUGACCAAUUACCUGCAUCUAAAUCCGGUGUUACCCUGUCUGAAUCCUGUUUGUCCCCUGGUUCUGACUCAGUGAUACUGUCUGAAUCCUGUUUGUCCUCUGGUUCUGACCUAGUGACCCUGUCUGAAUCAAGUUUGUCCCCUGGUUCUGAUCCAGUGAUACUGUCUGAAUCCUGUUUGUCCCCUGGUUCUGACCCAGUGAUACUGUCUGAAUCCUGUUUGUCCUCUGGUUCUGACCUAGUGACCCUGUCUGAAUCAAGUUUGUCCCCUGGUUCUGAUCCAGUGAUACUGUCUGAAUCCUGUUUGUCCCCUGGUUCUGACCCAGUGAUACUGUCUGAAUCCUGUUUGUCCUCUGGUUCUGACCUAGUGACCCUGUCUGAAUCCAGUUUGUUCCCUGGUUCUGAUCCAGUGAUACUGUCUGAAUCCUGUCUAUCCCCUAGCCCUGACCCAGUGACACUGUCUGAAUCCUGUUUGUCCCCUGGUUCUGAAACAGUAAACCUGUCUGAAUCCUGUUUGUCCCCUGGUUCUGACCCAGUGAUACUGUCUGAAUCCUGUUUGUCUCCUGGUUCUGACCCAGUGAUACUGUCUGAAUUAUGUUUGCCCUGCGAUUCUAACCCAGUGAUACUGUCUAAAUCCUGUUUUUCCCCUAAUUCUGACUCAGUGGCCCUAUGUGAAUCCUGUGUUCUCUCAGAACAUUUACCCCUCUCUGAAUCCUGUAUAGCCUCCGACUCUGACUCAGGGCAUCUCUCUGAAUCCUACCUGCCCUCAGACUGUGACCAGCCACCUCUGUCUGAGUCCUGUUUGUCCCCAGACCAUUUCCCACUGUCUGAAUCCUGCUUAACUCCAAACUCUGACCCAGGGACCCUCUUUGACUCGUAUUUGCACACCAUCUCUGACUCAGUGCUGCUGCCCCAGUCUUGUUUAGUCCCUGACAAGAACCCAGGGUCCCUCUCGGGAUCCUCAUCUCACAAUGACUCUGACCCAAGGCCCCCCUCGGGACCUUCAUCUAACAGUGACUCUGACCAAGGUCCUCUCUCUGACUACACCAACUCUGACUCAGUGCCCCAGUCUUGUUUAAUCCUGGACUCUGACCCAGGCUCCCACUUGGGAUCCUCAUCUAACAGUGACUCUGACCCAGGUCCCUUUUCUGACUACACCAACUCUGACUCCGUGCCCCAGCCUUGUUUAAUCCCUGACUCUGACCCAAGGCCCCCCUUGGGAUCCUCAUCAAACAGUGACUUUGACCCAGGGUCCCUCUCGGGAUCCUCACCUCACAGUGACUCUGACCCAGAGUCCCUGUCUGAGUCACGUUUGGUCGCUGAUUCUGACCAAGGCUUCCUGUCUGAAUCAUGUUUGACCCCAGCCUCUGACCAGUUGUCCCUCUCAGAAUACAGUCUGACCCUUGACCCACAACCCCUGUCUGAAUCCGGAGUGGCCCUUAAGGCUGAAUUCCCAACUGAACAAUGCCAGGAACCUAAUACAGAAAAACAGGUUGGUUUAUAUUUAAACCCAGAUCCAGUCAUUUCCUUUGAAUCUAAAUUCAACCAUAACCCAGACGAGUUCCCCUUUUCUGAAUAUGUUCCAAGCACUAGUUCGUCCUGUCUUCCUGUAUGUAAACAUGAAAUGCCGACUGAACUUGGCAACAUGUCUAUAUUUGACUCAUUUUUGUAUUCUGAAAAUGACUGCUUAGUUUCUGUUAAAUCUAGUUUGAUAUCUGACUCUGGGGCAGGGCCCCUGACUGAAACUAGGCCGAUUAAAUCUGAAGAUCUACCAUUAGUCUUUGCAUUGCCCCUUAAAAUAGACCAACAACCCCAAUCUGAUUUCUGUUUGUCCCCAGAAUCUGAGCUGUUUCGUGGUUUUAAGCAGCUAUCACUGUCUGAAUCUAGUCUGGUCCCUGACACUGAGCAUCUAGUACUGUCUGAAUCUAGUCUGGCCCCUGACAAUGAACAGCUAGCACUGUCUGAAUUAAGUUUGGCCCCUUACAAUGAACAGCUAGCAUUGUCUGAAUCUACUUUGACCCUUGACACCGAGCUGCCUGCACUGUUUGAAUCUGGUUUAAAAAAUUACUCUAAGCACCAAUUUGUAUCUGAUUUGGCAUCUGACCCCGACCCACUAGUCCUAUCCAAAUCUGAUGUGGCCCUUGACAAUGAGCAGCAAGCACAGUCUAAAUCUGGUUUGACACCUGACACUAAUCAUAUAGACCUCCCUGAAUCUGGUUUAUCUCCUGAUACUGAUCAACUAACCCUCCCUGAAUCUGGUUUGGCUCCUGAUACUGAUCCACUAACCCUCCCUGAAUCUGGUUUGGCUCCUGAUACUGAUCCACUACCCCUCCCUGAAUCUGGUUUGGCUCCUGAUACUGAUCCACUAACCUUCCCUGAAUCUGGUUUGGCUCCUGAUACCGAUCAACUACCCCUCCCUGAAUCCGGUUUGGCUCCUGAUACCGAUCCACUAACCCUCCCUGAAUCUUGUUUGGCUCCUGACACUGAUCAACUAACCCUCACUGAAUCUGGUUUGGCUCCUGAUACUGAUCAACUUACCCUCCCUGAAUCCGGAUUGGCUCCUGAUACUGAUCAACUAACCCUCCCUGAAUCCGGAUUGGCUCCUGAUACUGAUCAACUAACCCUCCCUGAAUCCGGUUUGGCUCCUGAUACUGAUCAACUAACCCUCCCUGAAUCCGGUUUGGCUCCUGAUACUGAUCCACUAACCCUCCCUGAAUCCUGUUUGGCUCCUGAUACUGAUCCACUAACCCUCCCUGAAUCCGGUUUGGCUCCUGAUACUGAUCAACUAACCCUCCCUGAAUCCGGUUUGGCUCCUGAUACUGAUCCACUAACCCUCCCUGAAUCCGGUUUGGCUCCUGAUACUGAUCCACUAACCCUCCCUGAAUCCGGUUUGGCUCCUGAUACUGAUCAACUAAC